rnacentral:rRNA from 1 species
AGCGAACGCUGGCGGCAGGCUUAACACAUGCAAGUCGAACGCCCCGCAAGGGGAGUGGCAGACGGGUGAGUAACACGUGGGAACGUACCCUUUGGUUCGGAAUAACUUGGGGAAACUCAAGCUAAUACCGGAUAAGCCCUUAUGGGGAAAGGUUUACUGCCGAAGGAUCGGCCCGCGUCUGAUUAGCUAGUUGGUGAGGUAAUGGCUCACCAAGGCGACGAUCAGUAGCUGGUCUGAGAGGAUGAUCAGCCACACUGGGACUGAGACACGGCCCAGACUCCUACGGGAGGCAGCAGUGGGGAAUACUGGACAAUGGGGGCAACCCUGAUCCAGCAAUGCCGCGUGAAUGAUGAAGGCCUUAGGGUUGUAAAGUUCUUUUAUUGAUGACGAUAAUGACGGUAGUCAAUGAAUAAGCACCGGCUAACUUCGUGCCAGCCGCCGCCGUAA